GAUCAUGGCUCAGAUUGAACGCUGGCGGCAGGCCUAACGCAUGCAAGUCGAACGGUAACAGGAAGCAGCUUGCUGCUUCGCUGACGAGUGGCGGACGGGUGAGUAAUGUCUGGGAAACUGCCCGAUGGAGGGGGAUAACUACUGGAAACGGUAGCUAAUACCGCAUAAUGUCGCAAGACCAAAGAGGGGGACCUUCGGGCCUCUUGCCAUCGGAUGUGCCCAGAUGGGAUUAGCUAGUUGGUGAGGUAACGGCCCACCAAGGCGACGAUCCCUAGCUGGUCUGAGAGGAUGACCAGCCACACUGGAACUGAGACACGGUCCAGACUCCUACGGGAGGCAGCAGUGGGGAAUAUUGCACAAUGGGCGCAAGCCUGAUGCAGCCAAUGCCGCGUGUAUGAAGAAGGCCUUCGGGUUGUAAAGUACUUUCAGCGGGGAGGAAGGGGUUAAGGUUAAUAACCUUAGCCAUUGACGUUACCCGCAGAAGAAGCACCGGCUAACUCCGUGCCAGCCGCCGC
rnacentral:rRNA from 1 species